rnacentral:lncRNA from 1 species
UUUUGCCUUAACAAGCUGGGUAGUAAUAUAAUUGCCAUGUCAUGCUGUCGAAACUUUUAUUGAUUUGGUGGGAUAUUGAUUAGUCACUGCAGUGGUGGGUUUCCGUGGACCAACCUAUUAGAGAGGGGCACAGUAAACCCGGUUAUAUUUUACCUCGGUACGAGAGGCACAGAGGGUAUUUUCUGAGGUAAAGCUUUAGAGUUCACUUCACGUCGAACCACCACGUGAUGGUGAAUUUAGCCAACGCCAAGGAACGGCUAUGUUUUAAAACGUACAAAUAUGAUUUAUGGAUAUAUGUCUUUUCUUUAACAGCCUUGGCAGACUCGGUUGGAUGCCUCUGAUCAAGGUAUCCCCGAGAAUGAGUUUUGGCACGAGCCAAGUUUUUAAAAAAUUCAUAAGCCAUGUUGAUUAUUUGAGUGAAAUGAAUUUAUUUUAUUUAGUUGAAAUGAGUUUGAAACGUUAUGAAUCAUAGUACGAUAAACUAUUUUAAGUUGUCUCUAUUUACUCGACUUUAGAUAUUUUAGAUGAUGUUUGUUUACUCACUGAGUUUAUAUAAACUAACCAUCCUCCUUUCCACUCAUUCCAG